rnacentral:rRNA from 1 species
AGAGUUUGAUCAUGGCUCAGGAUGAACGCUAGCUACAGGACUUAACACAUGCAAGUCGAGGGAAACGACAUCGAAAGCUUGCUUUGAUGGGCGUCGACCGGCGCACGGGUGAGUAACGCGUAUCCAGCCUGCCCACCACUUGGGGAUAACCUUGCGAAAGUAAGACUAAUACCCAAUGAUAUCUCUAGAAGACAUCUGAAAGAGAUUAAAGAUUUAUCGGUGAUGGAUGGGGGAUGCGUCUGAUUAGCUUGUUGGCGGGGUAACGGCCCACCAAGGCAACGAUCAGUAGGGGUUCUGAGAGGAAGGUCCCCCACAUUGGAACUGAGACACGGUCCAAACUCCUACGGGAGGCAGCA